rnacentral:piRNA from 1 species
CAGAUCUAUUCACACAGUGUCUCCAGG